AAUUGCACCAUAAUAAAGGCAUGGGCUACCGUCUCAAGUAGGGUUGUCACGGUAACCGGUAUAGCGGUAAACCCCGGUAAAAAAGUUGACAAUAAAAAUAACCGUCCCGUUUUUAAAAAACUAAAUUAUCUCGGUGGGUUUACCGUGGCCGCGGUUUCGGCGCGGUGACCUUUACCAGCCACCGUCGCUUCAGCUGAAGUUCCCGCGGCGCGCACACGCACUUUUUAGUUUGCAACGGCACCAAAACUUUGAAGCUGAAAUAAUGGCCGAAGGAGGAGACGGCAGCGCCCAGGACAUCCAUCAGCCCUCAAAGAAGACUAAAUUGGAAGUAUGGGCAAUUUUGGAUUUCUGAAAAAUGCUGAGGGACAGGUAAUAGAAGACGGCUAUCCCGUUUGCAGAACGUGCAGGAAACAAGUGUCUGCAGAAGGCAGCAACACUUCGAAUCUAAUGGCACAUCUGCCUGACCAUCACCCACGUCUCUACAGCCAGUGCAAGGUAAGUUAACAUUAGCAUUUUAGCUUAAACGUGAGGACGUGAGGACUUUUGGUUGAGAGAGAAUGCAACGAGUCACUAUAUACUGCAGCCGCAGCGUCCUCUGCCAGUAUUUAAACCGUGUCACGGACACCCUGUUGCUGGAUGAAGCAUCUUAUUUGUUGAUGAUGAAGAGAAAUAUACAAUUAGUUCCUUGUCAUUGAUUUGUUUACUUAUUCAAUGCCAUUUAUACUUGAACAUUUGGAUUUGAUUACAUAGUGUGGUAGUUAUUUUAGUAAUUUGUUUAAAGUGGCUAUUUAUUUUAAAUACAUAUUUUUUUAAGGUUGACUUGUACAGUGCUCAAGUCAAGCGUGGACUGGAGUUUUAGAUUUUCAUUUUGAUAAUGAAGAAAACAAGUAUAUGAGAAAACAAGUGAUGUUUCUUUGAUUUGUUUACAUAUGUUUAUGUUUUGAAUGUUUGGAUUUGUAUAAUUUAAACCUGCACUGACUACUGUAACACGUUCCAGAAAAAGAAGCUAUUUGUUCCUUUACUUGUGAAAAGUUGCACUUUUGCUAAGGCUUUGUGUUAUUUUAGGUUUAAUAAACACUGUUAAACCUUUUCAGAACUAUUUCAGUUUGUGUAGAACAGGACUAUCAAUGCUUUCUGAACAUAUGCAACACCGUUUAAAAAAUACCGCGAUAAUACCGAAAACCGUGAUAAUUUUGGUCACAAUAACCGUGAGGUUAAAUUUUCAUACCGUGACAACCCUAGUCUCAAGAUCAUGACGUGACAAAAAUGGUUUGAUCUUUGCCAACUGACAAAGGUGGAAAAGGAGGAGGAGAUCAGUCCAUUGAUGUGGGUAUCAAAACUAAGGGCGCUAUCCAGUUUAACACCAAGAUUAGUCACCGAUGUAGUCAGCUGGCCAUUAAAUGACCCACAGUCAGUUAGGGAAGAGUCACAAUGUAUGCUUGGAGCAAACAAUAUAGCCUCUGUUUUCUGAUCAUUUAGGCUCAGAACAUUUUCAGUCAUCCAGGUCUUGAUCUCCCUCAAACAGUUAGUAAGAAUAGAAAUAUUUUAAAGGGCGUAUGACAAUCAUACACCAAUCUUGGGUGAGCGGGUUGUAACACAUAGUCUAAAAACAACAAAAAUACAAAAAGUAGAGGAGCUGACAGACGGCAAGCCGGCAACACUGGCGCCAUCUUGACUGUCUUUAGUCCACACAUACACACGCACACACACACACACACACACACACACACACACACACACACACACACACACACACACACACACACACACACACACACACUGGUGUGGGGUGGACUACAUCUGAUGGACAGACUAGACCCUCUGGAGAUGCCGCUACACGCGCUGCAGCAACUGGACUUGGGGACAGCGAAGGUUUUAAACAAUAAUCCAUGGUUAGGAGCUGCAAACGGCCUCCUCUCACUGUUCCUUUCUGUUUGGUGCUCCAAACAUUUGUGCUGAACUAAAAGGCUCAUUAGCUUUUCUCCACUACAACGUAGCUAAACCUUCACAAUAGACAACUCCAGAUGGUUUAAGCUCUUAAAGUAGUACUUAGGUGGUAAUCAUGUAUUUGAAGAAGUCAGAAUGGUCCAUGUGGGCAGGAGAUGCAGAGCUGCUGCACCACCUCCUCAUGAGGAUCCAGACAGGUCUCCUCCUACUGAUGGGACUGUAGAGCUGCUGCAGACAGACAGCUGAGGGCAUCAAAGCAACAUUUCACCUGCAGAAGAAUGGAAACGCUGGCUGUCAUCUGGUUCUGCUCAGCUCUCGUAGCUAAAAGCCUGGAAGCGGAGAUUACUGCCAGCAGAGCUGAAGUGGUUUCAUCAGAGGGAUCAAAACUUCAUCUGUCCUGCAACUAUUCAGUCAAAGCACACAACCUCCAGUGGUACCGACAGGAUCCUGGAUCAGCUCCUCGCGUCCUGCUCCUCAUCACUGACACCAAAGAACCCACGGUGGUAGAAGGAGAACCUCCAAACCCCCGACUGACAGCAGAACUGAACGAGGAGAGAAAUCGUGUGGACUUGCUGAUCUCCUCUGCUGCAGCGACAGACUCUGCUGUGUACUACUGUGCUCUGCAGCCCACAGUGACAGGAAACAGUAAAAGUGUGUAGAAAACCUGCAGAGCAAAGACAACACAAUACUCCACAACAUCCACUAGAGGGACUCACACAGUGAGAACCCAGAUGUAUUUUAGAUCCAAUCCCAACCAAAUGAUCUAAAGAUGCAUUUCCUUUGGUUACUGCCCCAUUCUAGAUAGAACCAGUAUAUCCUUACUAAAUGGAUACGUACCACAGGAUUUUGAGGUUGCUGUAAUCAAACCUCUACUUAAGAAACCUUUU